UGAACGCUGGCGGUAUGCUUAACACAUGCAAGUCGAACGGAAACGAUACUAGCUUGCUAGUAGGCGUCGAGUGGCGGACGGGUGAGUAACGCGUAGGAAUCUGCCUGAUAGUGGGGGAUAGCCCGAAGAAAUUCGGAUUAAUACCGCAUAAUCUAUUCGUAGUAAAGUGGGGGACUUUCGAGCCUCACGCUAUCAGAUGAGCCUGCGUAAGAUUAGCUUGUUGGUGGGGUAAAAGCCCACCAAGGCGACGAUCUUUAGCUGGUCUGAGAGGAUGAUCAGCCACAUCGGGACUGAGACACGGCCCGAACUCCUACGGGAGGCAGCAGUGGGGAAUAUUGGACAAUGGGGGCAACCCUGAUCCAGCAAUACCGCGUGUGUGAAGAAGGCCUGAGGGUUGUAAAGCACUUUCAAUUGUGAAGAAAAGUUAGCGGUUAAUAACCGUUAGCCUUGACGUUAACUUUAGAAGAAGCACCGGCUAACUCCGUGCCAGCAGCCGCGGUAAUACGGAGGGUGCAAGCGUUAAUCGGAAUUACUGGGCGUAAAGCGUGCGUAGGCGGUUUAUUAAGUCAGAUGUGAAAGCCCCGGGCUUAACCUGGGAACUGCAUUUGAAACUGGUCAACUAGAGUAUGGUAGAGGAAAGUGGAAUUUCUGGUGUAGCGGUGAAAUGCGUAGAUAUCAGAAGGAACAUCAAUGGCGAAGGCAGCUUUCUGGACCAAUACUGACGCUGAGGUACGAAAGCGUGGGUAGCAAACAGGAUUAGAUACCCUGGUAGUCCACGCCGUAAACGAUGAUAACUAGCCGUUGGGGGGAUUUACCCUUUAGUGGCGAAGCUAACGCGUUAAGUUAUCCGCCUGGGGAGUACGGCCGCAAGGUUAAAACUCAAAGGAAUUGACGGGGACCCGCACAAGCGGUGGAGCAUGUGGUUUAAUUCGAUGCAACGCGAAGAACCUUACCUGGUCUUGACAUCCUGCGAACUUUCUAGAAAUAGAUUGGUGCCUUCGGGAACGCAGUGACAGGUGCUGCAUGGCUGUCGUCAGCUCGUGUCGUGAGAUGUUGGGUUAAGUCCCGUAACGAGCGCAACCCCUAUCCUUAUUUGCCAGCACAUUAUGGUGGGAACUAUAAGGAGACUGCCGGUGAUAAACCGGAGGAAGGCGGGGACGACGUCAAGUCAUCAUGGCCCUUACGACCAGGGCUACACACGUGCUACAAUGGGAAGGACAAAGAGCCGCGAAGCCGCGAGGUGUAGCUAAUCUCAUAAACCUUUUCGUAGUCCGGAUUGGAGUCUGCAACUCGACUCCAUGAAGUCGGAAUCGCUAGUAAUCGUAGAUCAGAAUGCUACGGUGAAUACGUUCCCGGGUCUUGUACACACCGCCC
rnacentral:rRNA from 1 species